rnacentral:misc_RNA from 1 species
GAUGAAGAACGUAGCGAAAUGCGAUACGUAGUGUGAAUUGCAGAAUUCAGUGAAUCAUCGAAUCUUUGAACGCACAUUGCACCUCUCGGUAUUCCGGGAGGUAUGCCUGUUCGAGCGUCAUUUGUACCCUCAAGCUCUGCUUGGUGUUGGGUGUUUGUUCCGCCUCUGUGUGUGAACUCGCCUCAAAACAAUUGGCAGCCGGCGUACUUGUUUCGGAGCGCAGCACAUUUUGCGAUCCAGAUCAACGUACAGCGGCAUCCAAGAAGCCUUAUUUAACGCUCUUGACCUCGGAUCAGCUAGGGAUACCCGCUGAACUUAAGCAUAUCAAUAAGCGGAGGA